CCUACGGGUGGCAGCAGUCGAGAAUCAUUCACAAUGGGGGAAACCCUGAUGGUGCGACGCCGCGUGGGGGAAUGAAGGUCUUCGGAUUGUAAACCCCUGUCAUGUGGGAGCAAAUUAAAAAGAUAGUACCACAAGAGUACGAGACGGCUAACUCUGUGCCAGCAGCCGCGGUAAUACAGAGGUCUCAAGCGUUUUUCGGAAUCACUGGGCGUAAAGCGUGCGUAGGCUGUUUCGUAAGUCGUGUGUGAAAGGCGCGGGCUCAACCCGCGGACGGCACAUGAUACUGCGAGACUAGAGUAAAGUAGGGGGAGGCGGAAUUCGCGGUGUAGCAGUGAAAUGCGUAGAUAUCGAGAGGAACACUCGUGGCGAAGGCGGGUUCCUGGACAUUAACUGACGCUGAGACACGAAGGUCAGGGGAGCGAAAGGGAUUAGAUACCCCAGUAGUC
rnacentral:rRNA from 1 species